CUUAAUGACGCCUCAUAUCCAGGCAGUAUUCCUCCCUAAUAAAUGGAUUUCAUUCCUGCAGUAUGUGAAGGCUACAUACUUCAUGGCACCUCACAUCUAGGGCAAAACACGCAGGAUUCCUCCCUAAUUAAUAAAUGGAUUUCAUUCCUGCAGUGUGUGAAUGCUGCACACUUCCUGACACCUCACAUCCAGACAGGCUUCCUCCUUAAUUAAU